rnacentral:rRNA from 1 species
GACGAACCGAGCGAACGUUGUUCGGAAUCACUGGGCUUAAAGGGCGCGUAGGCGGGUGACUAAGUCUGUGGUGAAAUCCGGCAGCUCAACUGUCGAAUUGCCAUGGAUACUGGUCGUCUCGAGGGAGGCAGGGGUGCGCGGAACUAAUGGUGGAGCGGUGAAAUGCGUUGAUAUCAUUAGGAACUCCGGUGGCGAAGGCGGCGCACUGGUCCUCUUCUGACGCUGAGGCGCGAAAGCCAGGGGAGCAAACGGG